CUACAUCACCAGCAUUACUUGCUGAAAGCACUGAGGCAGCAUGUGGAAGUGAACAAUUUGAAAAUCCAGCAAUUCAAAAUAUUGAAUUCAUCAUUACCGAUGAUGAAAAUGCAAUUAGUACAAAUGUGGUUGAUGCUGCCAAUGGAGAAGAUUCUCAACCACAUGAACAAGGAAAAAUGGAAGAGAAUAAAUGGGAUAAAAUGUGUCUUUUGAUAGAGAAUAUAAACAACAAUCUCACCAUUUUAAAAGACUCUAUGCUUCACAAUUUAAAAAAAAAAAGACUUCACAAUCAAAAAGUAAGAAGACUUUUAACCAGAGUGAUUGAAAAUCAAAAAGAACAGCGUGCUCUAAUGUUCAGAGAAAGAAGGUGGGAGGGAAGGGCAUUUUAUUCUGGGGUUAAAACACGUGGUGGACCAUUUUAUCAUCCACAUUAAUAUCUUAUGUUUGUUUUUUGGUUUGUUAUUUAGAAAGUUAAUAAAAAGAAUGUUUACAA